rnacentral:rRNA from 1 species
UACGGAAGGCAGCAGUGGGGAAUAUUGCACAAUGGGCGAAAGCCUGAUGCAGCUAUGCCGCGUGUAUGAAGAAGGCCUUAGGGUUGUAAAGUACUUUCAUCGGGGAGGAAAAAACAAAACUAAUAAUUUUAUUUCUUGACGUUACCCGAAAAAGAAGCACCGGCUAACUCCGUGCCAGCAGCCGCGGUAAUACGGAGGGUGCUAGCGUUAAUCAGAAUUACUGGGCGUAAAGAGCACGUAGGUGGUUUUUUUAAAGUCAGAUGUGAAAUCCCCUGGGCUUAACCUAGGAACUGCAUUUUGAAACUGAAAUACUAGAGUAUCGUAGAGGGAGGUAGAAUUCUAGGUGUAGCGGUGAAAUGCGUAGAUAUCUGGAGGAAUACCUGUGGCGAAAGCGGCCUCCUAAACGAAUACUGACACUGAGGUGCGAAAGCGUGGGGAGCAAACAGGGAUUAGAUACC